CCUGGACAGAGCACACUAGAGACAGCCGUUGUACACAAGGCAGGCAGGAUAGGUUCACUUCUUAAAUAAUGUUAGCCAACGUCUGCCUGCCUUAUUUUUUUUACCUGCAACCUAAGAGUUUGUAGAAUAGAACAGGAACUCUGAAUCGCUAGUUACAUGACACAGUCUUCAGUUCAUUUAGAAGUUUGGCAGAUUAGUGAGUAACACCAAAUAAUUGUUGCAAAAUAUUUCUGCAGAGGGCAGGUUUUCUCUUAACAGGAGUUUUGACAUGUCCAGGUCAUCAAACUUCUGCAUCCAAAUAGUCAUUGUACAGCCUUUACGAUACCACUUCUUCAUUGCUGAAUAGAAUGUAUUUAAACAGUUGAAGAUGUUGCAGGAAGUUGGGACUAGCCUUGCAUUCCAUAUAGUAUGUUGGAUAUAAUAGGAUUUGUUGGCUUUAAAUUGGCUUAAUGUUGUACAGUUGCAUGUGUUAAACAAUGUGGGAUACAAUUGGUAAACAGGGUUUCUGCAGGUUCUGUAAAGCAGUUAAUUCAGUUUCCUCAAAAAAGCCUUAAAAGUCAUUUACAAAAGACUUUUUCAAAAUAUUUUCUCGUGCCCACCAUAGUCAGGUGGGGAAGUUAAUGAUUGUUGGCUGCUGGGAGGCUUUACACACUUUUGAAAUAAAAGUGGUAUUGUUUCAGCAGUGGAUUGUUCAAGCAGAAGGCUGUUAAAUCCUUUUUUGAGGUCCGCACCAUCAGACUGUACUAAAGACUACUAAAGGAAGCUCAUUCCAUUCACUUUAUGCUCCUAACUCGGGUCCAGGUCACAUGAGUUUAACUUAAAUAAUUGGAAAUUGUUUUAUUCUACUGGAAAAUACUUUUUUUAUUUAAUAAUAAAUAAUUAUAGGUCAUUUCAUGCUUCUGCAGGUAUGAUUGUGAAACUGGUAGUAAAUGGUGUUCUAUGUGGUAAUAAAAAAGCCCCAAAAAUAUUAAAUUUAACUUUCUGCACAUGCAGAAACCUCGAUAAAGCUUGGCCUUUAAAAAGUGAUUACAGAUGGCUGAGUUGUUGUCUUGUUAUUUAGGUUUCUGCUAACUGGAACGUCUAACUAAGGAGUUAAGUUAGAGUUCAUUCAUCGUCGAUUUGUUCUCCGUUUGUGAUGUUUGACAAACCCUCAGUGAUUUAGCUUUUUGUCUCACUGCACUACUUUGCAUUAAAUCAUGCAACUGAUUUUCAUAAGUGCUCAUUCAAAGCACCACGCUGCUUUCUCAUUCAUGUAGACACAA